UCAAAAGAGAAUUCUUGCUUUUAAUUUUGGAUACAGUGUAGGCUAAGUCCAACAUUGUGGCAUCUUGACUGCGGCGGCCUGUUGGAUUAAUCCUGAACAGUAAAUUGCCUUUGGCAGGUCUUCAGGUAGCUGUGUAAGAAGCAACAAGGAAAACAAAGGGUCCUGGUAAUUGCAAACAACUGGUAAGGGUUGUUUUCUUUUUCUUUUCCUUCAUGUUCUUCCUAAUUGAUGUGCUGAUUUGGAUAUGAACCUACAGAUGAGUCAAACCUAAGCAUUCAGCAUCGGGAGCGCUGUCACUAAACGUGUAGCCUCAUUCAACAACACAUCCUUAUCAAGCACUUGCAGGUACUCCGUUGAAUGUUAGAAAUGCAUUGAUGGUGGAGACAUAGCACCGGCUCACAGGGACCUUCCAGCCUAGGCCGCAGGAUUGGACGUAUGCACUUUGUUUUGGAGGCUGAAAGUCCACCUUUGGGAUGCCAGUCUGGUUGAGUUCAGCAGCCAGGAUGGGAGGCAGGAAUCAGAGGCGAAGAAUGAAUUAGCCCAACUGUGUCCCUGUCUUCUUCACUGAAGGAGGUUGAAACUGUCUUGUCCUGGCAAUGCCAAGUGGUCAGCCUGUGGUUCAGCUUCAUAAGCUAGCCAGUGGGAAAUUUCCUAUUCAAGGUGGCUGAGAGCUCUAAGAUGACCAAGGUGAAACUGUCACAGAAAUUCUUCUUAAAUUGUUGUGUCUAAUGGCAAAAAAUAUAAGUUGAAGAAUUGUCUCUGAGAAAGACUGGGACACAUAGUCCAAAAGGAUUAUGGGCUGGGCAUGGUGGCUCAUGCCUGUAAUCCCAGCACUUUGGGAGGCCGAGGCAGGCGGA